GAUGAACGCUGGCGGCGUGCCUAAUACAUGCAAGUCGAGCGAAGCGGGGACGGGUGAGUAACCCGUGGAUAACCACCUAUAAGACUGGGAUAACUUAGGGAUACCGGAGAUAAACCGGCUACUUAUAGAUGGUACCGCGCUGCAUUAGCUAGUUGGUAAGGUAACGGCUUACCAAGGCAACGAUGCAUAGACGACCUGAGAGGGUGAUCGGCCACACUGGAACUGAGACACGGUCCAGACUCCUACGGGAGGCAGCAGUAGGGAAUCUUCCGCAAUGGGCGAAAGCCUGACGGAGCAACGCCGCGUGAGUGAUGAAGGUCUUCGGAUCGUAAAGCUCUUUUAUUAGGGAAGCGGUACCUAAUCAGAAAGCCACGGCUAACUACGUGCCAGCAGCCGCGGUAAUAC
rnacentral:rRNA from 1 species